rfam:Hordeum vulgare subsp. vulgare, WGS project CAJW01000000 data, contig: morex_contig_139002
UAUGUUUUUCGACAGUUCGGUCAAAAUCAAGUGUAGUAUCCGUUCUUACCAAUUUAAUAUCUGAUGUGAGCAUCAUGUGCAUACAAUAAUAUUAAAUUUAAUUUUUACUAGCAAAAGAGCCUGUGCCGUUGCCACGGAAGAGAAAAUAACACACGCUCUGAACGCAAUAUAUUUUCACUCACAUUUGUGUUGCUGACGAU